rnacentral:rRNA from 1 species
CCUACGGGAGGCAGCAGUGAGGAAUAUUGGUCAAUGGCCGGAAGGCUGAACCAGCCAUGCCGCGUGCGGGAGGACGGCCCUAUGGGUUGUAAACCGCUUUUGUGUGGGAGCAAUAAGAGUCACUUGUGGCUUGAUGAGAGUACCAUACGAAUAAGCAUCGGCUAACUCCGUGCCAGCAGCCGCGGUAAU